CACCACUCAAGCUAUGCUUGGUAUUGGGCAACGCGGUCCGCCGCGUGCCUCAAAUCGACCGGCUGGGUCUUCUGUCCCCUAAGCGUUGUGGAAACUAUUCGCUAAAGGGUGCUCGGGAGGCUACGCCGUAAAACAAACCCAUUUCUAA
rnacentral:misc_RNA from 1 species